AUGCGAUACUUGGUGUGAAUUGCAGAAUCCCGUGAACCAUCGAGUCUUUGAACGCAAGUUGCGCCCGAGGCCAUCCGGCUAAGGGCACGCCUGCCUGGGCGUCACGCUUUCGACGCUUCGUCGUUGCACCCUCGGGGGGGUGGGGGCGAACGCGGAGGAUGGCCCCCCGUGCCGGAAGGUGCGGUUGGCCGAAGAGCGGGCCGUCGGUGGUUGUCGAACACGACGCGUGGUGGAUGCCUUGUGCGAGCCGUACGUCGUGCCUUCGGGACCCGGGCGAGGCCUCGAGGACCCAAGUCGUGGUGCGAGUCGAUGCCACAGACCGCGACCCCAGGUCAGGUGGGGCUACCCGCUGAGUUUAAGCAUAUCAAUAAGCGGAG
rnacentral:rRNA from 1 species